rnacentral:lncRNA from 1 species
UGCAGUAAGUGCCUUCCGUGGACAUAUUCUUCUUUUCCUAGGACAGUGCCUAUGCUUUGAUUUACAGAAUAAAUGUCUUAGUGAGUGAAUGGGUGGUGGGACAACUGAGUGAACAUGCUUGCUGAGGUUGUGUUUUUUUUUCCUAUAGAAAGACUUAAUAAUUCCAGGACAUACAACUGCCAUCAUUCACAGUGCACCAGAAGAGCAACCCAAUAACGACAGAAUAACUCGUGUUCAUGGAGUCCAUGAAGAUAACAAAUGUGGCAGGAACGUCAGCUGUAGCGGGCAAGAAGAGUAAAAAAUGUUUUUUCAUCACUCAAGUUGCUCCACAACAGCCAAUUAAUAAACAUGGGAUGGACUCUGAUCACACAUUGGACAAAGAUAACAAACGUAGUAAGGAGUCUACCUCCCAAAGAGAUCCUGAAGACAACAACUCACCAAGGAAUUCGAAGGCAGGAACGUCAGCUGUAGCGGGUAAGAAGAGUAAAAAAUGUUUUUUCAUCACUCAAGUUGAUCCACACCAGCUAAUUAUGAACUCUGAUCACGGAUUGGACAGAGAUAACAAACGUAGUAAGGAGUCUACCUCCCAAAGUGAUCCUGAAGACAACAACUCACCAAGGAAUUCGAAGGCAGGAACGUCAGCUGUAGCGGGUAAGAAGAGUAAAAAACGUUUUUUCAUCGCUCAAGUUGCUCCACAACAGCCAAUUAUGAACUCUGAUCACGGAUUGGACAAAGAUAACAAGCGUAGUAAGGAGUCUACCUCCCAAAGAGAUCCUGAAGACAGCAACUCACCAAGGAAUUCGAAGACUAUUUCUACAAAUUCUUGGAAGAAAUCCAUUAAUCAAUCAAUGGCAGCCGAUGCAAAAAGAAAAGAUAUGAAUGAACCACUGGAAGAGUUUGCUAAGGGAUCCACUGAGUUGACGCCUCGUCUGGAAGCAAUACAUCCUUUUUGGACAACAUCAGUGGGAAUGAAUGAAGUACAAACAUGCAGACAAGAUAAUGACAUUAAAACAACAAACAAGGAAGAACAAGAAUGGCUUGAUGGAAGUAAAAAUAAGCAAUUUGAAGAAAAAGGGCAGCGUUGCCAAAGUAAGGAAAUGGAAGUGUUAAGAAACUUGCAUGAAAGUGCUGCUCCUCCUGAUGACAGUGAUGGUUGUGGACUGAAUCAGCAGAGACAGAGUGGGGACCUUGAUAACCAGCAAUCUGCCACUAAGAAGAAUGAAGAAUAUUAUUUCUGCCCUGCCUUGCAUAUAAAGGAAACAAAAAAUGAAAAUGAAAAAGUGACUUCCAUGGAGUAUGGGAUUAGACCAGUGAUAGAGAAUGGCUUUUCACUCACUAGAAGUCUACUGCAAGUGAUUUAUGACAACAAUCUGAGUGAGCUCGAUCGUCUUAAAAGGGAACAGUUAAGAAGAAAAGAAAAGCAAUAUCAUAAAGAAGUAGAAGUGAAACAACUUGAAGUGACACAUAGAACACUAGAAUUGGAUGCGAGGACUUCAAAAAACAAUUUGACCCAGGUAAGUUAAUCUUUGAUAAAAUUUUUAUGUUUCUGACUUGAAUCACUGUUACAUAUAAUGUCCUCCUCAUUCAAGAUAUAUACAUAAAUAUAUAUAUACACACACACGCAUAUACUAAACAGGUGUGUAUGCACACAGACACACACACAGAUGUGUAAUCUUUAUUUAAAGUAACCCAAAAAUUAUUCUGAAGAUGAAUUAUGACAUAUACUGCUGGAGUUAUUGCUUGUGAGUCUUGGUACAUGAUGGUGCUUAGUACAUAUUUUCUAAAUAAAGCAGUGCAUAUUGAGUUGAAUUUAAUAACU